GUAGGGCAUGGUGGUGCAUGCCUGUAAUCCCAGCAACUCUGGAGGCUGAGGCCAGAAGAUCACAAGUUCAAGGCCAGCCCCAGCAAUUUAAUAAGGUCCUGAGUAACUUAGUGAGAUCCUGUCUCAA
rnacentral:sRNA from 1 species